rnacentral:rRNA from 1 species
AUAGCGUAUAUUAAAGUUGUUGCAGUUAAAAAGCUCGUAGUUGAACUUCAGAUUUGGUCGGGUGGUCCGCUUAACGGCGUGUUACUGCUUGGCUGGGUCUUGUCUCUUGGUGAACCAUUGUGCCCUUUAUUGGUGUGUUUUGGGGAACCAGGACUUUUACCUUGAGAAAAUUAGAGUGUUCAAAGCAGGCCUAUGCCUGGAUACAUUAGCAUGGAAUAAUAGAAUAGGACGUGUGGUUCUAUUUUGUUGGUUUCUAGAAUUGCCGUAAUGAUUAGUAGGGAUAGUUGGGGGCAUUGGUAUUGAGUCGCUAGAGGUGAAAUUCUUGGAUUGACUCAAGACCAACUAUUG